GACGAACGCUGGCGGCGUGCUUAACACAUGCAAGUCGAACGGUAAGGUCCUUCGGGGUACACGAGUGGCGAACGGGUGAGUAACACGUGGGUGAUCUGCCCUGCACUUCGGGAUAAGCCUGGGAAACUGGGUCUAAUACCGGAUAGGACUCCGGACUGCAUGGUCUGGGGUGGAAAGCUUUUGCGGUGUGGGAUGGGCCCGCGGCCUAUCAGCUUGUUGGUGGGGUGAUGGCCUACCAAGGCGACGACGGGUAGCCGGCCUGAGAGGGUGACCGGCCACACUGGGACUGAGAUACGGCCCAGACACCUACGGGAGGCAGCAGUGGGGAAUAUUGCACAAUGGGCGCAAGCCUGAUGCAGCGACGCCGCGUGAGGGAUGACGGCCUUCGGGUUGUAAACCUCUUUCAGCAUCGACGAAGCGAAAGUGACGGUAGGUGCAGAAGAAGGACCUGCCAACUACGUGCCAGCCGCCGCAGUAA
rnacentral:rRNA from 1 species